rnacentral:rRNA from 1 species
GACGAACCGUGCAAACGUUGUUCGGAUUCACUGGGCGUAAAGCGCACGUAGGCGGAUUGUUAAGUCAGGGGUGAAAUCCUGGAGCUCAACUCCAGAACUGCCUUUGAUACUGGCGAUCUUGAGUCCGGGAGAGGUGAGUGGAACUGCGAGUGUAGAGGUGAAAUUCGUAGAUAUUCGCAAGGACACCAGUGGCGAAGGCGGCUCACUGGCCCGGUACUGACGCUGAGGUGCGAAAGCGUGGGGAGCAAACAGG